rnacentral:tRNA from 1 species
AGCUAGGUGGCUCAGUGGGUAGAGUACCAGGCUUAGAGUCAGGAAGACCUGAAUUCAAAUCUAGCCUUGGUUA